UACGGGGGGUGCAAGCGUUAUUCGGAAUCACUGGGCGUAAAGGGCGCGUAGGCGGUCUUUUAAGUCAGAUGUGAAAGCCCUCGGCUUAACCGAGGAAGUGCAUUUGGUACUAAAAGACUUGAGUAUGGGAGAGGGAAGCGGAAUUCCCGGUGUAGCGGUGAAAUGCGUAGAUAUCAGGAGGAACACCGGUGGCGAAGGCGGCUUCCUGGACCAAUACUGACGCUGAGGCGCGAAGGCGUGGGGAGCAAACAGG
rnacentral:rRNA from 1 species